rfam:Pan troglodytes isolate Yerkes chimp pedigree #C0471 (Clint) chromosome 2A, whole genome shotgun sequence.
GCCGGGCAUGGUAGUGCAUGCCUGUGGUCCCAGCUACUUGGGAGGCUGAGGCAGGAGGAUCACUUGAGCCUGGAAGGUCAAGGAUGCAGUGAGCCAAGAUCGUGCCACUGCACUCCAGCCUGGGCAACAGAGUGAGACCUUGUCUCAA